GUUUUAAUAGUUUAAGUAAAACAUCGGUCUUGUAAACCAAAAAUAAGAAACCCCCCUUUUUUUAAAACU
rnacentral:tRNA from 1 species